rnacentral:tRNA from 1 species
GUCUUCGUGGUGUAGUGGUCAGCACGCUCGGCACAUAUUCGAGAAGUCCUUGGUUCGAGUCCUGGCGAGGGAA